rnacentral:tRNA from 1 species
GGGACUGUAGGAUAAUGGUAGUCCGAGCGGCUCCAGCAUUUACGAAGAAACCGCUAAGAGGGGGUUCGAUUCCCUCCUGUCCCA